rnacentral:tRNA from 1 species
GCGGAUAUGGCGUAAUUGGUAGCCGCGCCAGACUUAGGAUCUGGUGCCGCAAGGCGUGGGGGUUCGAGUCCCUCUAUCCGCA